rnacentral:rRNA from 1 species
GGAUGGGGACACAGGGGUUGUAGUCGUAGCCGUAGCGAAAACGCCUCUGAGAGGGGGACACACUACGAAAGGGACGCUAUUACCGCGUACGCGCUACGGGGAUGAGCGGGGGAGAUCUUCGGCUCUUGCGAUAAGAGAGCGCUCGAUAUCUGUUUAUAUAGGGGGGGGGGAAGGCGCCCCCCGGGGAGGAUAUCAAGCGGUGCUGAGAGAAGGAUCCCCCACACUGUGACUGUGACACGCGCCACACUCCUACGCGAGGGGGAAGUGGGGAAUAUUGUACAAUGGGGGGAAGCCUGUGACACCCAUGCCGCGUGUGAGAGAAAAGGCUUCUGGUUGUGAAGAACUUUUUUGUCGGAGAAGAAUACUGUGGGUAUUACACCCGGAUAUGGUGAGGGCCUCUGAAAAAAAAACCCCGUCUAUCUACGGCCCAGCACCCGGGGAAAUACGUGGGGGGCAAGCGUUAAUCGAAUUUUACUGGGGCGUAAAGCGCGCGCAGGGGGGUGUUAUAAGUCUGAUGUGAAAUCCCGCGACUCUCAACUCUGAAAUCUGCAUUGGAAGACUGUAAGGCUAGAGUGUGUCAGAGGGGGGGUAGAAUUCCACGUGUAGCAGUGAAAUGCGUAGAUAUGUGGAGGAAUACCGAUGGCGAAGGCAGCCCCCUGAUAUAACACUGACGUCUCAUGCACGAGAGCGUGGGGGAGCAAACAGAAUUAUAUACCCCUGUUAGUCCACGCCCUAAACGAUGUCAUACUAGUUGUCGGGUCUUUAUUAGACUUGUAAAGGCACCUAUACGCGUGAAAUUGACCCGCCCUCGGGGAAGUAACGCACGCAAGAUACUAAACUCUAAGAUGAUUUGACGAGGGGAGCCCGCGACAACACGGUGGAGUGAAUGUGCAUUAAUAUCUGAAUGACAACCAGCGA